CCACCAUGAUUGUGAGGCCUCCCCGGUCAUGUGGAACUCACUUCUCCUUCCUGUCACCAUGUGAAGAAGGACGUGUUUGCUUCCCCUUCUGCUAUGAUUGUAAGCUUCCUGAGGCCUCCCCAGCCCUGCAGAACUAGUAAGAGACAUGGGUGAAAGAGUUAUCCGGAAUGGAAUGCUGAGGAGACCCUAAAGGGAAUUUCCGGGUGGAUGGCCAGCACUGUCACUCGAUGAGUGGAGGAUUGACAAACUUGCCAAAUACUGCAAGAAAAGAUGUUGCUGAUCACGGAUAGGAAAUACUCCAAGUCCCAGGAGAUAGUCUGUUCUUAGGAGACUUCCACACCAAGUCUGCUGACCAGAGAAGGACCAGUCAACCACCA
ensembl:lncRNA PDE7B-AS1 PDE7B antisense RNA 1